rnacentral:rRNA from 1 species
UUUUGGACAAUGGGCGCAAGCCUGAUCCAGCCAUGCCGCGUGAGUGAAGAAUGCCUUCGGGUUGUAAAGCUCUUUCGGCCUGAAACAAAUCGCGCAGGCUAAUACCCUCCGCCGACGACGCUACCGCCCUACUAAGCACCUGCCAACUACGUCCCAGCAGCCGCCGUAAUCCGGAGUGUGCGAGCGUUAAUCGGAAUUACAGGGCGUAAAGCGUGCGCAGGAGGUAGAUUAAGACAGGCGUGAAAUCCCCGGGCUUAACCUGGGAACUGCGCUUGUGACUGGUCAGCUAGAGUACGGCAGAGGGGGGUGGAAUUCCACGUGUAGCAGUGAAAUGCGUAGAGAUGUGGAGGAACACCGAUGGCGAAGGCAGCCCCCUGGGCCGAUACUGACGCUCAUGCACGAAAGCGUGGGUAGCAAACAGG